rnacentral:rRNA from 1 species
CCUACGGGAGGCUGCAGUGGGGAAUAUUGGACAAUGGGGGGAACCCUGAUCCAGCGACGCCGCGUGAGUGAAGAAGUACUUCGGUAUGUAAAGCUCUAUCAGCAGGGAAGAAAGAAAUGACGGUACCUGAAUAAGAAGCCCCGGCUAACUACGUGCCAGCAGCCGCGGUACUACGGAGGGGGCAGGCGUUAUCCGGUUUUACUGGGUGUAAAGGGAGCGUAGACGGCGAUGCAAGUCUGAAGUGAAAGGCGGGGGCCCAACCCCCGGACUGCUUUGGCAACUGGAUGGCUGGAGUGCAGGAGAGGUAAGUGGAAUUCCUGGUGUAGCGGUGAAAUGCGUAGAUAUUAGGAGGAACACCAGUGGCGAAGGCGGCUUACUGGACUGUAACUGACGUUGAGGCUCGAAAGCGUGGGGAGCAAACAGGAUUAGAUACCCGUGUAGUC